CCUACGGGGUGCAGCAGUGGGGGAUAUUGCACAAUGGGGGGCACCCUGAUGCAGCGACGCCGCGUGGAUGAAGGAGUGCUUCGGCAUGUAAAGCACUAUCGGCAGGGGAGAAAAUGACGGUACCUGACUAAGAAGCCCCGGCUAACUACGUGCCAGCAGCCGCGGUAAUACGUCGGGGGCAAGCGUUAUCCGGAUUUACUGGGUGUAAAGGGAGCGUAGACGGCUGUGCAAGUCUGGAGUGAAAGGCAUGGGCUCAACCUGUAGACUGCUGUGGAAACUGGGCGGUGUGAGUGUCGGAGAGGCAAGUGGAAUGCCUAGUGUAGCGGUGAAAUGCGUAGAUAUUAGGAGGAACACCAGUGGCGAAGGCGGCUGGCUGGACGAUGACUGACGUUGAGGCUCGAAAGCGUGGGGAGCAAACAGGAUUAGAUACCCGUGUAGUC
rnacentral:rRNA from 1 species